rnacentral:lncRNA from 1 species
AUGGUUACCGGAAACCUUACAAUAGCUAUUAAAAUAACCUACAGGAAGAAAAAUACCGUAUUUUAUUGAACUUCCGUUCCAUAAGUAUGGGAGGCAUUAUAUGUUACACAAUUGUGUUCCAUACAUUAAUCAGCAGGAAGCCUUUGGACACUAAUAACAAUCUGUUCGUAUAUUAUAUACAUAUAUACCCUGAAGCCAAUAAAUGACCAUGUCUACUGUGGACUAACAUGUCCAUAACCAGACGACUACGUAACCGGCCUACAGCUAUGGACCGUUUGUAAGGACCACUGGACUAUAUAAGAUCUCUCAAUGGAUUUCAAGGACAGAAUUCGAUUAGACGACAAUUCGAUUAGGACGGAUUGGUACAAGAGAUUGGUACCGGAGAUUCCGC